rnacentral:tRNA from 1 species
GGGGCUGUAGCUCAGCCGGGAGAGCAUCGGCUUUGCAAGCCGGAGGUCGUCGGUUCGAUCCCGACCAGCUCCACCA